GAUGAAGAACGCAGCGAAAUGCGAUAAGUAAUGUGAAUUGCAGAAUUCCGUGAAUCAUCGAAUCUUUGAACGCAUAUUGCGCCCUCCGGUAUUCCGGGGGGCAUGCCUGUCCGAGCGUCAUUGCAACCCUCAAGCGCGGCUUGUGUGUUGGGCCUUCGUCCCCCGUGGACGGGCCCAAAAGGCAGCGGCGGCACCGCGUCCGGUCCUCGAGCGUAUGGGGCUUCGUCACCCGCUCUUGUAGGCCCGGCCGGCGCUUGCCGACACAUCAAUCUUUUUUCCAGGUUGACCUCGGAUCAGGUAGGGAUACCCGCUGAACUUAAGCAUAUCAAUAAGCGGAGGA
rnacentral:misc_RNA from 1 species